UUAAGCGACUAAGCGUACACGGUGGAUGCCCUGGCAGUCAGAGGCGAUGAAGGACGUGCUAAUCUGCGAAAAGCGUCGGUAAGGUGAUAUGAACCGUUAUAGCCGGCGAUGUCCGAAUGGGGAAACCCAGUGCAAUUCGUUGCACUAUCGUUAAGUGAAUACAUAGCUUAACGAGGCGAACCGGGGGAACUGAAACAUCUAAGUACCCCGAGGAAAAGAAAUCAACCGAGAUUCCCCCAGUAGCGGCGAGCGAACGGGGAGCAGCCCAGAGCCUGAAUCAGCAUGUGUGUUAGUGGAACGGUCUGGAAAGGCCGGCGAUACAGGGUGACAGCCCCGUACACAAAAGUGCAUGUGUUGUGAGCUCGAUGAGUAGGGCGGGACACGUGGUAUCCUGUCUGAAUAUGGGGGGACCAUCCUCCAAGGCUAAAUACUCCUGACUGACCGAUAGUGAACCAGUACCGUGAGGGAAAGGCGAAAAGAACCCCGGCGAGGGGAGUGAAAAAGAACCUGAAACCGUGUACGUACAAGCAGUGGGAGCCUCUUAAUGGGGUGACUGCGUACCUUUUGUAUAAUGGGUCAGCGACUUAUAUUCUGUAGCAAGGUUAACCGAAUAGGGGAGCCGAAGGGAAACCGAGUCUUAACUGGGCGUUAAGUUGCAGGGUAUAGACCCGAAACCCGGUGAUCUAGCCAUGGGCAGGUUGAAGGUUGGGUAACACUAACUGGAGGACCGAACCGACUAAUGUUGAAAAAUUAGCGGAUGACUUGUGGCUGGGGGUGAAAGGCCAAUCAAACCGGGAGAUAGCUGGUUCUCCCCGAAAGCUAUUUAGGUAGCGCCUCGUGAACUCAUCUUCGGGGGUAGAGCACUGUUUCGGCUAGGGGGUCAUCCCGACUUACCAACCCGAUGCAAACUGCGAAUACCGAAGAAUGUUAUCACGGGAGACACACGGCGGGUGCUAACGUCCGUCGUGAAGAGGGAAACAACCCAGACCGCCAGCUAAGGUCCCAAAGUCAUGGUUAAGUGGGAAACGAUGUGGGAAGGCUCAGACAGCCAGGAUGUUGGCUUAGAAGCAGCCAUCAUUUAAAGAAAGCGUAAUAGCUCACUGGUCGAGUCGGCCUGCGCGGAAGAUGUAACGGGGCUAAACCAUGCACCGAAGCUGCGGCAGCGAACGUAUCACUUAAAACGAUUUACAGGGUUAACGAUUGACGGAGCGAAGCGACGUCAAAGCGUUUUACAACGUUGAGUCGGUUUAAGGAUACGUUCGUUGGGUAGGGGAGCGUUCUGUAAGCCUGUGAAGGUGUGCUGUGAGGCAUGCUGGAGGUAUCAGAAGUGCGAAUGCUGACAUAAGUAACGAUAAAGCGGGUGAAAAGCCCGCUCGCCGGAAGACCAAGGGUUCCUGUCCAACGUUAAUCGGGGCAGGGUGAGUCGACCCCUAAGGCGAGGCCGAAAGGCGUAGUCGAUGGGAAACAGGUUAAUAUUCCUGUACUUGGUGUUACUGCGAAGGGGGGACGGAGAAGGCUAUGUUGGCCGGGCGACGGUUGUCCCGGUUUAAGCGUGUAGGUGUGUGUUCCAGGUAAAUCCGGUUCACUUUAACACUGAGGCGUGAUGACGAGGCACUACGGUGCUGAAGUAACAAAUGCCCUGCUUCCAGGAAAAGCCUCUAAGCAUCAGGUAACAUUAAAUCGUACCCCAAACCGACACAGGUGGUCAGGUAGAGAAUACCAAGGCGCUUGAGAGAACUCGGGUGAAGGAACUAGGCAAAAUGGUGCCGUAACUUCGGGAGAAGGCACGCUGAUAUGUAGGUGAAGUGAUUAACUCAUGGAGCUGAAAUCAGUCGAAGAUACCAGCUGGCUGCAACUGUUUAUUAAAAACACAGCACUGUGCAAACACGAAAGUGGACGUAUACGGUGUGACGCCUGCCCGGUGCCGGAAGGUUAAUUGAUGGGGUUAUCCGUAAGGAGAAGCUCUUGAUCGAAGCCCCGGUAAACGGCGGCCGUAACUAUAACGGUCCUAAGGUAGCGAAAUUCCUUGUCGGGUAAGUUCCGACCUGCACGAAUGGCGUAAUGAUGGCCAGGCUGUCUCCACCCGAGACUCAGUGAAAUUGAACUCGCUGUGAAGAUGCAGUGUACCCGCGGCAAGACGGAAAGACCCCGUGAACCUUUACUAUAGCUUGACACUGAACACUGGUCCUUGAUGUGUAGGAUAGGUGGGAGGCUUUGAAGUGUGGACGCCAGUCUGCAUGGAGCCGCCCUUGAAAUACCACCCUUUAAUGGCUGGUGUUCUAACGUAGGCCCGUAAUCCGGGUUGCGGACAGUGUCUGGUGGGUAGUUUGACUGGGGCGGUCUCCUCCUAAAGAGUAACGGAGGAGCACGAAGGUUAGCUAAUCCUGGUCGGACAUCAGGAGGUUAGUGCAAAGGCAUAAGCUAGCUUGACUGCGAGCGUGACGGCGCGAGCAGGUGCGAAAGCAGGUCUUAGUGAUCCGGUGGUUCUGAAUGGAAGGGCCAUCGCUCAACGGAUAAAAGGUACUCCGGGGAUAACAGGCUGAUACCGCCCAAGAGUUCAUAUCGACGGCGGUGUUUGGCACCUCGAUGUCGGCUCAUCACAUCCUGGGGCUGAAGUAGGUCCCAAGGGUAUGGCUGUUCGCCAUUUAAAGUGGUACGCGAGCUGGGUUUAGAACGUCGUGAGACAGUUCGGUCCCUAUCUGCCGUGGGCGCUGGAGAAUUGAGGGGGGCUGCUCCUAGUACGAGAGGACCGGAGUGGACGCAUCACUGGUGUUCGGGUUGUCAUGCCAAUGGCACUGCCCGGUAGCUAAAUGCGGAAGAGAUAAGUGCUGAAAGCAUCUAAGCACGAAACUUGCCCCGAGAUGAGUUCUCCCUGACCCUUAAAGGGUCCUGAAGGAACGUUGAAGACGACGACGUUGAUAGGCCGGGUGUGUAAGCGCAGCGAUGCGUUGAGCUAACCGGUACUAAUGAACCGUGAGGCUUAACCU
rnacentral:rRNA from 1 species